GCUGAUUCACUCCCCUAAAUUCCUAGAUUUCAUUACUCAUCACCUUACCUUCUUACAUUUGUCAUCUUCAACUUUUGCAAUUGAGAUCAUCACUUACGUAGAUGAACAAACCCAUUGCUAUAAAUAGCUCAUCAAUCUGGCCAAAAAUCUACAACAGUCAAAGCAUUCCAUUUUAAUUUUUCACCAUUAAAACCCAUGAAAUUUCCUUACCUUUUUACUCUUAUAAAUUCAGUUUCGAACCACCAUCAACCACCACCGUGACCACCUUGACCACCACCGUCAACCACCACUUCCACCACCUCGCCUCACCUCCGGCUGUUUCAGUCGACCACCACCACUGCAACUCCCUCCAUUUCCUUCGACCAGAAUCGGGCCACACUCCCCUGCCUUUCUUUUUCUCCCUGUUGUACCACCGUGCCACACCACCACCAUCGGCCACCCUCACCGUCCUUUCUCCUUUGCUCUUGCACUGCCCUGCCUAUCCCCCUCCCUCUCCUCCGCGCAAGCUGCGCGCAACCACGACCACCCCUUCCCUACUUUUCCCCUGUACGCGCAACACCCCCCCCCACCUUGCCUGACGCGCCGCCGCGAACCACCACACCACUGACGCCUUUCCACCGUGGGUUCGCGUCCCCGUGCUACCCGAGCCCAGACCUAGCUGCCACCUCUCUUUCUCCUCCCCUGCUCCUUCGUGCCCUGUUGCUGCUUCCUCUCUCCUUUUUGCUCGACAUUCAGGAAGCCAGGAAAUCAAUUCCUGACUUUUGAAUUCUUUCCCUAUUAAACCCAAAACAAAAGUGUUGGGCCCAAUUCUAACAUUUGGGUUUUUGAAAUUAGACUCGGGGCUCAGGAAGGACGAUCCAUCAGACAGGGAGUAUAAAAACUACGGUUGAGGAAAGGCGGAUAGAGAUUCACGGAGGUUUCCUGGUCAUGAGGAGGUGUUGAGAUGUCUACUCAUAAUCCUGGUUUUAACAGAGCGAUGUUGGUUCUACCAGGUUGUAGUCUUGAUAGGGAGUUCUGCGAGUGUUGUCGAUAUAUGAUAACUUGUGGCUCCAUCCAAUGGUAAAACCACUCACCUAGGGUAAGAAAUAGGUGGCCACCAUGAGAAAAAGUUCGUUGAUGGCAUUGUUUGUCCCUGUUGGCGGGGAUUAGUAUUUACUUAAGUUGUGGAAAUUAACUAAAUCAGUAAAUUAAUGUAUAACAAUCAAAAGCAAUCCUGCUAAAAUUACUACGCAUCUACUAAAUUCUAUAGUAAUCGAAGCAUUCAAAUAAUUAAUGUUUGAUAAAAAUCUUUUUCUAGAUUAUACUCCGUAUCUAUUUAUAGUUUCAUUUGUUCUUGAGGUAGAGUUAUAGGGGACUUUUAUUCGAUGUGUUAAUUAGCUAAAAACGCCCUGAUUUUUUACGGUAAAGUACAAUGAUACCCUUUACAAAUAAACUCACCCACCUCCCUCUCCACCCUUCCUGUCAACUGCUUGAUACUUGAUAGUAACGAAACUCGGCCACCCUCGCAAAAACCGACAGGAACUUCCCGACCACCGAAAUUCGUGGCCUCCAUUUUUUCGCCUCCCAUUUCUGUCUUCUCCUCCCCUCUUUGUUUUCGCCUCCCGUUCGUCCUCCCUUGUCCAUCCCCUUCUUCCUCCCUCAUCUAAACUCCGGUCUUUAAUUAUUAUUUUUUUUAAAAAUGUAACUGCCGCGCACGACAUUUGCGGGGGAUCCAUGGCCGCCACGCACAGGUUGUGCGCCGGCGACACGGUGUCCGUGCAGAUCUGGUGCACAAGCACCGUGUCGCCGACGCACAACCUUUGCGCGGCGGCCAUGAAUCCCCCGCAAAAGCUGUGCGCGGGACUGCCUGCAGGUUUGAUUAUUUUCUUAAUUAUUUUUUCUGUUUUUUGUUUUUAUUAUUGUCCCUCCUUAAUUGCUUUUCUUAUUGUUUAGUUUCGUUAAUUUGCUUUCUUUGGAACUGUUCUUCCUCUCAUGAAUCAAAAAAGUUGUUUAAAUUUUGGCUGGGAGUUUGUUAUGGCAUCCAAACAGAGGAAAGGCUGAAAUUAUGGUUGGGAGUUUGUUAUGGCAAUCAACAUUCAACACAGCUGUUUGUUAUGGCUCUCAACAGAGGAGAGGCUGAAAUCAAAAAAUUUGCUUAUUUUUUUGUUGGGAGUUUGUUUAAUAAAAAAGUUGUUAAUAUGGGUUUAUGCUUGGGUAUUAUAUACAAAGUUAUAAAAAGAACGUCGUCGGAAUUUAUGGUUUCCGGCAGGAAGACAGAGCUGUCUGCCGGAGGGGAUGUGAGGGGGGAGGGGUACAAAUUUUAUAAGGGUAAAAGUGUACUUU